rnacentral:rRNA from 1 species
UAGGGAAUCUUCCGCAAUGGGCGAAAGCCUGACGGAGCAACGCCGCGUGAGUGAUGAAGGUCUUCGGAUCGUAAAACUCUGUUAUUAGGGAAGAACAAAUGUGUAAGUAACUAUGCACGUCUUGACGGUACCUAAUCAGAAAGCCACGGCUAACUACGUGCCAGCAGCCGCGGUAAUAUGUAGGUGGCAAGCGUUAUCCGGAAUUAUUGGGCGUAAAGCGCGCGUAGGCGGUUUUUUAAGUCUGAUGUGAAAGCCCACGGCUCAACCGUAGAGGGUCAUUGGAAACUGGAAAACUUGAGUGCAGAAGAGGAAAGUGGAAUUCCAUGUGUAGCGGUGAAAUGCGCAGAGAUAUGGAGGAACACCAGUGGCGAAGGCGACUUUCUGGUCUGUAACUGACGCUGAUGUGCGAAAGCGUGGGGAUCAAACAGG